GCAGUGGUGGUUCAGUGGUAGAAUUCUCACCUUCCAUGUGGGAGACCUGGGUUCGAUUCCCAGCUAAUGCA
rnacentral:tRNA from 2 species